AAAACAUCUUUUCUUGUUAGUUUUUGAAGUAUGGCCUGCCCACUGACUUGUUGUUAAAGGGCCGCGGUAUUUUGACCGUGCAAAGGUAGCAUAAUCAUUAGUUCUUUAAUUGUGAUCUGGUAUGAAUGGUUUGACGAGACAUAAGCUGUCUUAGGAGUAUUGUUUAUUGAAUUUGGUUUUUGAGUUAAAAUUCUUAAAUGUUUUUAUGGGACGAGAAGACCCUAUAGAGUUUAACAUUUUUCUUAUUGUUAUUUGUUUGUUUAUUUUAAUUGAGUUGGAAAAAGUGUUUUGUUGGGGUGAUGGGAGGAAUAAAAUUUAACUCCUCUUUAUUUUUAUAUAUUUAUGUAUAUUUCUUUUGAUCCAUUUAUUUUGAUUAUAAGAUUAAAUUACCUUAGGGAUAACAGCGUUAUCUUCCUUGAGAGUUCUUAUUGGCGGGGAGGUUUGCGACCUCGAUGUUGGAUUAAGGUGAAUUUUCGGUGCAGAAGCUGGAAAGUGAUUAGGUCUGUUCGACCUUUAAAAUCUUACGUGAUCUGAGU
rnacentral:rRNA from 1 species